rnacentral:rRNA from 1 species
AUUGAACGCUGGCGGCAUGCCUUACACAUGCAAGUCGAACGGUAACAGGUCUUCGGAUGCUGACGAGUGGCGAACGGGUGAGUAAUACAUCGGAACGUGCCUAGUAGUGGGGGAUAACUACUCGAAAGAGUGGCUAAUACCGCAUGAGAUCUACGGAUGAAAGCAGGGGAUCGCAAGACCUUGUGCUACUAGAGCGGCCGAUGGCAGAUUGGGUAGUUGGUGGGAUAAAAGCUUACCAAGCCGACUAUCUGUAGCUGGUCUGAGAGGACGAUCAGCCACACUAGGACUGAGACACGGCCCAGACUCCUACGGGAGGCAGCAGUGGGGAAUUUUGGACAAUGGGCGAAAUCCUGAUCCAGCAAUGCCGCGUGCAGGAUGAAGGCCUUCGGGUUGUAAACUGCUUUUGUACGGAACGAAAAGCCCCGGGUUAAUACCCUGGGGUCAUGACGGUACCGUAAGAAUAAGCACCGGCUAACUACGUGCCAGCCGCCGCCGUAA